rnacentral:tRNA from 1 species
GGGGAUUUAGCUCAGUGGCAUAAGCGCCUGCCUUGCAAACAGGCAGUCGUGGUUUCCAUCCCCAGUACCUA